AGUUAUACAGGUCCUUCCAAGGGUUAGUAAGGGUGCUGUUGGUGCUAUUAUUAAGCAUAAAUGCAAUUACUCAUCUAAAUAAAAAAAAUGCAAUAAGACAGUUAAAGAUUGCCAUGAGAUUUUGGUCAACCCCCCUUGCGUUCAAGGUUUCCUGGUCAACGGGUUUCCCCUAGCAGGAGCCUUGGGGCGGCUGGGAUCGGCUUUUGUCUCCGGCUUACAACACGAUUACAGGCUCAGUUAGCUAGCAGAGAUAACAAAAUUAGCAGCUAGGCAUACUCACACACAAACCACAAAAGUUUCAUCAUCACCGGCAGACGGGUAGGCUUCUGAGAACACGUAGCUGAGGGAGACUUCGAGUUGAUCAGGCUCGGUUACAGGUACAGCUUUUUGCGUUUUCUCCCUGCCCACUGCUUGCACGGUGGGCAAUUUAUAAGGGUAAUGACAUGUUCAGUUUUUUGGCCAGGUUUCUCCUAAUUAGGAGAUUUACAGGUGCCUUGUUACCACCCUCAGGGAGGGGGGGAGUUUCCUGGAAAUGGCUUACCACAAAAUUUGCCUAGCCCCAAUGGUAACUUUCGGAAAUGUUUCUCGCUUGAGAGUACGUGCAUGCUCGUUUCCUGAACAUGGAGGCCAGGGCAAAAGCUGCUUAGGUCUGUGACACUAGCAAACUCCACCAGAUAAGUUGCCGCCUUCUGCCUUUUGCAGCUCAUCCUUCUUUGGGGUCAGUCCUAUGAUCUUUUCUAUCAACUCCUUUCCUUUUGAGUCAUAGGAGUGUGCAUCCCUCCAGCCAGGAAUGUUCAUGAGUUCCAAGUUGGGGAGAGAGGUUUGAUCCCAGCAAGGUACACUGAGGCAAAAACUACCUGUGCCUUCCAUCCACUAGAAGUGUACAUGGCGUUAGCUGCUCAAGUUAGUCAUCUUAAUGUAAAAAGUUGUGGUGCAGAUGCAGCCCAGGUGCAGUGGUUGGCAUUCGCUUUCCCCUUGAUCUGACCUAAACUCCAUCACUUUUCCUAGUCUAAACUAACCCUGAGCAUCACGGUUAUCCUGUUCCCCAAUUUCAAAGCAAUUCUUUGUCAUUGAGUUCUCCCUUGGGGAACAAAUUGUUUCAUUCUCAGUUGUUCUGAUGUUGCUUCAGGUUGUGCUGGAGAGCAGAUAUUUUCAUUAUUAUUUUCCGCACUUAAAAUAUAUUGAACUAUAAGAAAGAUCAGGAAGAGGGCAGGGAUAGGGAAAAAAGUCAUUUCAUCCUCUAUAACAACAGACAUAGUUAGGGUAAGUCAGAAAGAGUCCCUUAUUCCCCAUCACUGUCCUCCUUCAAUCCGUGCUAAAACCUAAGAAUCCUUUUCCUUUCCCCAUUUGUGGGUUGAGAGACUUCCAAAAGUGCUCCCUGUGCUAUAGCACAUGGCUAAGCUCAGAGAAUAACCCCAAAUCUCCCCUGAGCUUUGCUUUUUGAAUUCUGUAUUUCCGAUUGCUUCAAGCCUGGGCAUUGUGAUUAUUAACCAGUUUCUCUA